UGUCAGGCUUUUCCUGAUAUCGGGAGC
rnacentral:piRNA from 1 species